UGCAUGUUGGUCAUUUGGUUGCUAUGAAACCCUGAGGUCAAUUUCCAUUGCAGGCAAAUGCAUUAUUCAUUCAUGUCAGGGAGCGGGCCUACACACAAACAAGAAUACAUCUAUCGGCGCCAACAACAUCGGUACUUUGUCUAACCGCGUGUGCUUGAUUUGGGACCUUCCAUGGCGUCCUUACUGGAUCACGGCCUGAUUAAGACCGCGGCGGUGGAGCAGGUGGUGGCUCCCAUCGCCGGUCACCUGUGUCUGCUGGUGCUUUUAUGCGAGAACGCCAAGGAUCCCGAGCAGUUCCUCCAUCUGGAGGGGGCUGCCCGGGCCGUGGCCAAAGCCACCGAAGACAUGGCCUCGGUAGCCUCCAGGCUGAUGAAUGAGACUGAGGAUGAAGUCACAAGGAUGGAGAUGUGUGCGCUGCUGGAGCCAGUGACUGUGUCUGGACAGCAUGUGUUGCUGGUUUCCCAGAAGCUCAGCAUCCAGCCCGGUUUGCCCGAGCACAGGGAAGAACUCAUCACAGCCACGCAAAACGUCAUGCUGGGAGUGGUCAAAGUCCUAUUAGUGAGCGAUGACGCCACCGUGAGGACGAUAGUGGUCGCUGCAGCCCAGGUGUUGGAGUGUCUCUCCCAGCUGGGAUGCUCCCUGGAUACCAUGACCCUGCUCAAAUCGUUCCAGGAGUUUUCCGACGCUCUAAUUCUCCUGAAGGGCCUCACAGUCGAGAGGGCAAGGUCCUUACAGGAUCCCAGACAGG
ensembl:lncRNA